rnacentral:rRNA from 1 species
CGGUGUUCAACUGGGGUGUCCGCGUGACAUCCUGCCGGUGGGCUUAGCCCGCAAGGGCGGCCCAACUUCAAAUCCCAUCGCGGUGCUCUUCACUGAGUGCUAGGUGGGCCGGCCCGUUCACUUUGAACAAAUUAGAGUGCUUAAAGCAUGCUAAAACUUCUCCUGAAUACGGUGUGCAUGGAAUAAUGGAAUAGGACCUCGGUUCUAUUUUGUUGGUUUUCGGAACCCCGAGGUAAUGAUUAAUAGGAACGGAUGGGGGCAUUCAUAUUGCCACGUUAGAGGUGAAAUUCUUGGAUCGUCGCAAGACGGACAGAAUCGAAAGCAUUUGCCAAAAACGCUUUCAUUGAUCAAGAACGAAAGUUAGAGGUUCGAAGGCGAUCAGAUACCGCCCUACUUCUAACCAUAAACGAUGCCCGGCUAGCGAUCCGUCGACGUUCCUCCGAUGACUCGACGGGCAGCUUCCGGGAAACCAAAGCUUUUGGGUUCCGGGGGAAAUAUGGUUGCAAAGCUGAAACUUAAAGGAAUCGACGGAAGGGCACCACCAGGAGUGGAGCGUGCGGCUUAAUUUGACUCAACACGGGAAACCUCACCAGGCCCGGACACCGGAAGGAUUGACAGAUUGAGAGCUCUUUCUUGAUUCGGUGGGUGGUGGUGCAUGGCCGUUCUUAGUUGGUGGAGCGAUUUGUCUGGUUAAUUCCGAUAACGAACGAGACUCUAGCCUGCUAACUAGGCGUAUUUUCGACAUCUCAAAGGUCCGUCGUCCCGGCCCUCGGGUCGUGGGCGUGCGCGAUUUUUACCGUCGGCGUACUAUCAAUUCUUCUUAGAGGGACAGGUGG